rnacentral:RNase_P_RNA from 1 species
GAAGCACGCCAGACCGCCGCUGGUGCAAUUCCCGAAAGGGAGCACUGGAGGAACGUCCGGACUGCACAGGACAGCGCAGGAGCUAACGGCUCCCCACCGUGAGGUGAGGAUCAGAGCAACAGAGACGAGUCGGUGAAGGGGCAACCCCGAUCCGGGUGAAACGGGCAAUCUCUGCGCGCAGCAACACCAAGUAGGCCAGUUUCGAGGUGGUUCCGCUGAGCUGGCGGGUAGGUGGCAUCGAGCCGUCCGGGCGACCGGCGGCCCAGAGUAAUGGCGGUCACGUUGGGGGCAACCUCAACGCACAGAAUCCGGCUUAUCGGCGCGCUUCACAC